UCACUUCAUGAGCUUGGCUUGCCGACGAUGUAAGAGAAGUAGUCAUAUUGUUAUUUUUCAUGUGUAUAUAAUUUUUUGUUUAUGUAAUGAAAUAACUCCGUUUUGUAUUGGUAUUUCUUAAUGCAGCACAUCGACUUGGUUAUGGACUUAUUGCGUGAUCGGGUUUAAAGAUGUCCGAGGUCAUUUGAUAGCCUUGGCCGAGUCAUACAGAAUUUGGAGUUCGGACGAAAUAUUGACAUUGAGUACCGGUCCCUCAAACUGGGAUAAGGAGUACGUGGUGCCCGACUAUAUGCUCAAGUAGACCA
rnacentral:lncRNA from 1 species